rnacentral:SRP_RNA from 1 species
GCCAGGCCUGGUGGCGCAGGUCUGUAAUCCCAGCUACUCGGGAGGCUGAGGCAGGAGAAUUGCUUGAACCCAAGAGGUGGAGGUUGCAGUGAGCCAAGAUUGUGCCAUUGCACUCCACUCCAGCCUGGGUGACAAAGCAAGACCCUGUCUCAA